CGCUGUUCUCGAGUUGCUACAGUAAACCACGCACUCAACGGAAGAAGACUAACGGCCUACUUCGAUAGUGUAGCUAGGAUUGGUCUACAACUAGCCGCCGACGUUGUACACUAAGUUUCAUCUCGAUACGCCAUCCGUGGGCUGAGCAUUUGACCGAUACUCUGAGCUCAAUACGCGAAACCUCCAUCUUGGUGAAACUCCGUUGAACCCGAAGGAAAACGCAUGCAAAACUCGUUGAAAGUCAU